CCCAGACAAGUCCAAGAGGAGGAUUCCAGGCAGUUAAGAUGGUUUCCGGAGAAGCCUGGAAUUUCCCCGUAAGCACAAGCUCGGCAGAAAAAGGCAGGGUCCCUCGGCAGCCAGGGCAGGGGCUGAGUCAGUCCCAAGUCUCCCUGGCAAAUGGAUCACCCCUUAGGGUGGGAAGAGCCCCCCAGCUGUGUGGGGAACCUGGCUAGAGGUUGCUGAACCUCUGCUUUCAAGGAGUCUUGUGACCCCGGGAGCAUAGAACAAUCGCGGAGGCGCUUACAUCCAAAAUCCAUUUUCCUUCAAAAAAGUGUCCAGGUGGAGGUAAAGAAAGAGGACCCUGUAUACUUUGGUAAAUCUGUGAUUUAGCUACAAUGUAACUGGGCCUUGGGAACCCAGGGUGAGGUUUCUUAUGUGACAUCUCCUGGAAAAGCUCCGCUCAAUUCCUGAAAAAUCCCUUAUCAGACACCGACAGGAAACAGGGAUUUCCAGGGAAAUGGAUGUGGAAGGCACCUGAAGGCCAUUCCAAAACUCCAAAGUUUUUAUUUAUUUUACUAACUUAGGUGACUUAGACAUACAACUUCCUGCAAACAGUGCAUUCAGCUUUGUGUUCCUAAGCAAAUAAAUGGAACAGAGGCCACCAAAACUAGGCCCGCUGGAAAGGGCAGAGCAGAUGCCCUUACACCCAUAGCCCCUGGGGGUCAUGCCUGUGAGUUCUUGCAUAUCAGCUUGUGACAGCGUUGUGACCUGCCCCUUUGUCACCUUGCCACCACAUCACCCCCCAGGGGUCUGGGCAUUUCCUCGAAGCUGCUUCCAGGACAGGAUCAGGAACGUGUUACUUGGGUGGGGGGCUGGGAGGGAGGCAAGGAGCUCUGGUUCUGCCCAUGUCCUCCAGCCUCGAGUGUGCAACUGCUCUUCUGGGAACUUGGGUCUCCUCAUCUGAAACACAGGGAAUUAGAGAAGAUGAUUUUGUAACGCUCGAAGGCUCUGUAAUCCCCAAAAACAUGCUCUAAAGGGAUCUCCAGUCCAGCAUAUCAACCCAAACAAAAGACAACGCUGUGGUUACUUGUUCAAAUGCCUCUUUCUUCUUGUAAACAGUGCACUCCCAAUGACAGAGGCCCUCUGCUACUCAUCAUCUAGGUAGCUGACAGGUGGCUGCCUGCGGUACCUGAUGUUUGGACAGACAAACAAAUGACCAGGAGACAGUUAAACCUACCUUCCAGUUUGCGUGAGGACUUGUGUCUAACACGGGCUCUGAUCUGUACCCACAGAUCCAGGGAGUGUUGUGAUAUUGACCUUCAAGGUUCAGAGAAGAGUGUUUAGGACACACAGUGAAAUAGACAGCUGCAGUCCAAGCCACAGUGGAAUUUCUAGUGUCCUCUGCCCUUCUGGGGCAGGCUAGGGCGGGGUGGAGCAGGGAGACGGCUUCAGGCCUUUCUAAUUUAAAAGGACAAGGACCAGGGGCUGGAUGCCUUUCCGUUUCACACCCGCGGCUUCCCACUUCAGGAGUGUUCCUGUGCUUCCCACCUUGGCCUGUCUUCAGACGGGCACCUGGACGUGGGGCUUGGAGAUCCAACUAGUCCCCAAGUUCACCCAAGACAGUUUGUUCCCAGGAGCUCAUUUAACACUAGGCUGUUUGCAAGUCAAAGUGCGUCCCGUGCAAACAACAUCCCAAGAGCACUGAGCGUGGCCAGCUGACCCACGAAGUCUAUGACCCAUCCCUGUACCUUGAAGUCCUGAAAGCUCUGGACCUACCACCAUGUUGCCACGAGCACACACUCUAGAUCUGAACUGCUCAUUCGGUGGACGCUGGGAAGUGGGGACCCUGUGUCCACCAGUGUUCCUUCAGCACACAGCCACUGAGUGCCUGCUCGGGGCCAGGUCCUCUCCAGGCCACUCUGGAGGCCGAGGCUCUGAAGAGAAAGUGCCUGCCAAACGCUGCCCUUGGCCUAAGGAGCUUCCUGCAGCCAGGGCCUCACCUGCAAAGGGCUAUGAAAUCACCUGUGUUGCUUUCUGGGCUCCUGAGCCCGGUGCUGUCCCACCCUCCGGGAAAGUCUAAAGCAAGAGGUGCCACCGCCCUCCGUGUCCUGCAGGCUGAGGAGCAGUGACGCUAUUCAGCAAGAUGAGAAACACGGGCAGGAGGUAAGAACUGAGAUCUCCUUCCUGUCGGCAUCUGACGGGAGGAGGCAUGUGAAUCCCAGGAGAAAACAAAACCUAGAAAGCGGCUGAGCCAGGAGACCCCUGGGCGGUGGGCUUAGCAAGGGGCAGGGGUUACCCACAGUCCUCCCUAGCACCUCGUCCCCAUCCUCUGCCUUCACACCUGGGACUCUCUUCCAUGCUGGGGGAAACCUUCAGAUGAAUUGAUUCUCGCUGAGGUUGUGCAGACCCCAGUGCACAGCCCCCAACCACAACCCCUUCCCUCCUGGCAGAGCUCGCUCUGGAGCAGCUGGAGGUCCAGCUUGAUGUUUUCCCAGGACAGUCAGAAAUCAGACCCAGCCAGCCCACCCCCCUGCAGGUCCACUCUUUGAAUACCAGAUGGCGGGGGCAGGGGAAGUCUCCUUAAAGCAAAAAGGAAUAAAAUUUGGAGACACAGUUUGCGGGGAACCAGAGGCCCACUCGGCUGUGGCAGCCACUGCUUGUUAGUCCUGAUCUUUGUUCCCCGCUCUUCCAUAGGAUAUUAAGCCGAGCACAUAGAUACUCAGAAUAAAGACUGCAUUUCCCAGCAUCUCUUGCAGCAGAUAUGGCCACAUGUCUAGGAUCUAGUCAACAGGUAAAUGCAACAUUAGGGACUUUUCUUACAGGAAGUGGUCAUACCCUUUCCUUCCUUCCUGGUGGCUGGAAUACAGGCGUAAUGGCUGGAACUGAAACAGCCAUUUUUGAUCAUGAAGUAAUCUUGGGAAUUAAGCCAAGUUUAGAGAAGAAACAAGACAGAA
rnacentral:lncRNA from 1 species